rnacentral:rRNA from 1 species
ACGAACGCUGGCGGCGUGCCUAAUACAUGCAAGUAGAACGCACAGUUUAUACCGUAGCUUGCUACACCAUAGACUGUGAGUUGCGAACGGGUGAGUAACGCGUAGGUAACCUGCCUGGUAGCGGGGGAUAACUAUUGGAAACGAUAGCUAAUACCGCAUAAUAUUAAUUAUUGCAUGAUAAUUAAUUGAAAGGUGCAAUUGCACCACUACCAGAUGGACCUGCGUUGUAUUAGCUAGUAGGUGAGGUAACGGCUCACCUAGGCGACGAUACAUAGCCGACCUGCGAGGGUGAGCGGCCACACUGGGACUGAGACACGGCCCAGACUCCUACGGGAGGCAGCAGUAGGGAAUCUUCGGCAAGGGACGAAAGUCUGACCGAGCAACGCCGCGUGAGUGAAGAAGGUUUUCGGAUCGUAAAGCUCUGUUGUAAGAGAAGAACGGGUGUGAGAGUGGAAAGUUCACACUGUGACGGUAUCUUACCAGAAAGGGACGGCUAACUACGUA